UUUAUUUCACUCUAGAUCAGUGCUUCUCAAUCUUUUCUGUUGCCCCCCCCCCUUUGGAGGACGAAAAAUCUCCAGGCCCCCCUCAACCCCA